UAGGCUUAAGCCAGAAAAGGGACCCCCUCUACUUUAACAUGGAAGCACUUGCUGUGAGCUAUUUUAUUAAGUGCUUCCAUGUUUGAGUGUGGUGAAUCCUACUUAACCUUCAAUUGUGUU
rnacentral:pre_miRNA from 15 species